UUUUGACCAGAAUCCAAAACCCCCUGUUCCCUGUAUAGUGCACUAACUUUUUUUGAACACCAGAAUCCAAAAACCCUAUUGUUCCCUGUAUAGUGCACUACUUUGGACCAGAAUCCAAAACCCUAUUCCCUGUAAUAGUGCACUAUUUUGACCCAGAAUCCAAAACCCUGUUCCCUGUAUAGUGCACUACUUUUGACCAGAAAUCAAAACCCUGUUCCUGUAUAGUGCACUACUUUUGAGACCAGAAUCCAAAACCCUAAUUUCCGGUAAUAGUGCACUACUUUUGACCAGAAAUCCAAAACCCUAUUCCCUGUAUAGUGCACUACUUUUGACCAGAAUCCAAACCCUAUGCCCUAUAUAGUGUCACUAUACUUUUGACCAGAAUCCAAAACCAAAACCCCAUUCCCUCUGUAUAGUGCACUACUUUGACCAGACAUCCAAAACCCCAUUCCCUGUAUAGUGCACUACUUUUGACCAGAAUCCAAAACCCUAUUCCCUUUUUAUAGUGCACUACUUUUGACCAGAAUCCAAAACCCUAUUCCCUGUAUGUGCACUAGACUUUUGACCGAAAUCCAAAACCCUCAUCCCCUGUAUAGUGCCUACUUUUAGUUGACCAGAUCCAAAACCCUAUUCCCUGUAUAGUUCACUAACUUCCUCAGGCAACACUACGCAAUCUGAAUCCCCCCCUCGGCAGGCAACACAAUGCCACUCUGAAUCCCCCCCUCCCGCGGGCAACAACUAGGCAUUCUUUCUGAAAUCUCCCCUCCUCGGGCAACACGAUGAUGCACUCUGAAUCUCCCCCUCCUCGGCGCAACACUAUGCACUCUGAAUCUCCCCCUCCUCGGGCAACACUAUGCACUCUGAAUCUCCCCCUCCUCGGGCAACACUACGCACUCUGAGUUCCAUAAUUCCUUGCCUUAUUUUGGAACACAUGUCAGUGGCCCAGCCCUGAAAGUGUACUGUUUAAACUGUAGCACCCCGUGUGUCAGUCUGAAAUACUCCAAUAGUUACAGUUGUACUGGUUGUUCCCUGCAUGUUACAGACAGUUAUCUAAUCACACACAGAACUACUAGUACAAGCACAAACCUCCGUCUAGUCACACAACCAGAAACUACUAGUACAAAGCACAAACCUCCAACGUCUAGCCACACACCAGAAACCACUAGUACAGCACAAACCUCCGUCUAGUCACACAACCAGAAACUACUAGUACAGCACAAAACUCCAACGUCUAGCCACACACCAGAAACACUAGUACAGCAAAACCUCCAACUCUAGAGUACACACCAGAAACUACUAGUACAGCACAAACCUCCAACGUCUAGUCACACACACACCAGAAACUACUAGUACAGCACAAACCUCCAACGUCUAGUCACACAACCAGAACUAACUAGUACAAGCACAGAAACCUCCAACGUUCGAGUCACACACCAGAAACUACUAGUACAGCACAAACCUCCAACGUCUAGUCACACACCAGAAACUACUAGUACAGAACAACCUCCACCACGCUCUAGUCAGGGGCGUCAAACAUACGGAAACAAACUGAAUAUAACUUUUCCAAUGACUGAAACCAAUAGAAACGUGAUAAUGGACCCUAAUUCAUACAGUUUAUUGACUGUGUCCUUGUUGCCUAAUAAUCAUUUGAAAUAAAAGCUAGACUGUCAGGAAGCAAUCAAAUCCCCCCAAAAUGAUGGAUAGAGGACUGUUUUGGACAGGGGAUCAUUUAUAACAUUUUCAUUGCGGCCCUCCGAACUGGUGGGAGAUUGAAUGCGGCCCCUGGGAAAAGUGGUUUGACACCUCCUAGUCACACACCACACACAACACACACACACAACACACACACACACAGACUAUGUGUAUUGUCUGAGGGAGAUUCAGAGUGACUUACACAAACUCAAGAAGACGCGCUCCAUAACACAGCUUCGUGGAAAGUUAGCAACAAUCUGUUAUGUUUUAAAAACAAUUUAAAAAUAUGAUAUUUUAAAAAAUAUAAAUCCCCCCUCGUUUUCUACUUCCUCGAUGAAUUGGAUGAAUCAACUCAAACUGAAUUUUUGAAAUCACGCCGUCCUCGUCUGUUACAAAGCAAGACCUAGCAGCCUGCUACAAAACCCUAGCUAGCAUAGCUUUAGUCCGUCCAACGACACCACCAGAACUAGGAAUAAAAAAGUGUCUCUGUUCAGUCAGUGAGUGAAUGGCUACGUUUGGCAAAGCCCCGCCUGGGCCCUGGUCACCAGUAGUGCACUAUAAAGGGAACACAGUGCUUGUUUUGGGAUGCUUCAGGUGUGUGGUUUAGGGGGAUGUUAGCAUUGUGUGUAAACUAAGGUCUGCCCUUUAAAAAAAAAAAAACCUUUUCCCCUCCCCCCCUCCUCGCCCUGCCUCCCUGCUCGUCAUGGAGCCGAUUCAGUAACGCCCUGAAGAUCGUUGAGGAGGUGAGCAGCAGGCUGUAUCAAACGGCUCCUGUAUAUAAGGGCCCUGGGUUUCUUCUCCACCCUUGAAUUGGAGGCACUGCUUUAAAAACCCUGCUGGUCAUUCUGGUCAAAAGUAGUUCACUAUAUAGGGAAUAGGGUCCAUUUGUGACCGUCUUAAUGCUUGACCUCUUCAACUCACUCACCCUCAGUACAUUCUCUGUUUGCUGUCUGAUUCUACUUUGGCUCGCCUUAGGAGUUACCAGCUGGAGUGAUGUAUGUAGGGGGUACAGCUGAGGUGAAUGUUAUGUAGAGGGUACAGCUUAGAGGGGUAUGUUUAUGUAGGGGGUACAGCUGGAGGUGUAUGUUAGGUAGGGGGGUACAGCUGGAGUGGUAUGUUAUGUAGGGAAGGGUGGUACACUGGAGGUUAAUGUUAUGUAGGGGGGUAAACCGCUGGAGGU
rnacentral:lncRNA from 1 species